GUGACAUACCACUUGUUGCCUCGGCGGAUCAGCCCGCUCCCGGUAAAACGGGACGGCCCGCCAGAGGACCCCUAAACUCUGUUUCUAUAUGUAACUUCUGAGUAAAACCAUAAAUAAAUCAAAACUUUCAACAACGGAUCUCUUGGUUCUGGCAUCGAUGAAGAACGCAGCAAAAUGCGAUAAGUAAUGUGAAUUGCAGAAUUCAGUGAAUCAUCGAAUCUUUGAACGCACAUUGCGCCCGCCAGUAUUCUGGCGGGCAUGCCUGUUCGAGCGUCAUUUCAACCCUCAAGCACAGCUUGGUGUUGGGACUCGCGUUAAUUCGCGUUCCUCAAAUUGAUUGGCGGUCACGUCGAGCUUCCAUAGCGUAGUAGUAAAACCCUCGUUACUGGUAAUCGUCGCGGCCACGCCGUUAAACCCCAACUUCUGAAUGUUGACCUCGGAUCAGGUAGGAAUACCCGCUGAACUUAAGCAUA
rnacentral:rRNA from 1 species